UACGUAGGGUGCGAGCGUUAAUCGGAAUUACUGGGCGUAAAGCGUGCGCAGGCGGUUGGCCGUGUCCGAUGUGAAAGCCCCGGGCCUAACCUGGGAAUGGCAUUGGAAACUGGCUGGCUGGAGUGUGGCAGAGGGGGUGGAAUUCCACGGUGUAGCAGUGAAAUGCGUAGAGAUGUGGAGGAACACCGAUGGCGAAGGCAGCCCCUGGGCCAACACGUGACGCCUCAGGCACGAAAGCGUGGGGAGCAACA
rnacentral:rRNA from 1 species